rnacentral:tRNA from 1 species
GCCCUUGUAGCUCAGGGGAUAGAGCACCGGAUUCCGGAUCCGGGUGUCGCCCGUUCGAAUCGGGUCAGGGGCAC